AGCGAACGCUGGCGGCAGGCUUAACACAUGCAAGUCGAGCGGGCACCUUCGGGUGUCAGCGGCAGACGGGUGAGUAACACGUGGGAACGUACCCUUCGGUUCGGAAUAACGCUGGGAAGCUAGCGCUAAUACCGGAUACGCCCUUAUGGGGAAAGGUUUACUGCCGAAGGAUCGGCCCGCGUCUGAUUAGCUAGUUGGUGGGGUAACGGCCUACCAAGGCGACGAUCAGUAGCUGGUCUGAGAGGAUGAUCAGCCACACUGGGACUGAGACACGGCCCAGACUCCUACGGGAGGCAACAGUGGGGAAUAUUGGACAAUGGGCGCAAGCCUGAUCCAGCCAUGCCGCGUGAGUGAUGAAGGCCUUAGGGUUGUAAAGCUCUUUUGUCCGGGACGAUAAUGACGGUACCGGAAGAAUAAGCCCCGGCUAACUUCGUG
rnacentral:rRNA from 1 species